rnacentral:tRNA from 1 species
GAGGGUACAGCUCAGUGGUAGAGCGCGUGCCUACCAUACACGAGGUCCUGGGUCCAAUCCCCAGUACUUCCA